rnacentral:lncRNA from 1 species
UACACUUAUACCCCUAAGGUUAAUUAAUCUAGACAUUAGGGUUUAGAGUCAAGGGGUGGAGUUUAAGGUUUAGGGUUUAGGGUUUAAAAUUUAGGGUUUAGAGUUGAGGAGUGGAGUUUUGGGGAUAUGAUUUCAAAUUUUACAAAUUAAAAAAAAUUAAAAUUUUCAAAAUAAAAAUUGCUAUUUUGGUCAUUUUAGUUUUUGGAAUCGAUUUUUGUGACAAAAACUAAAAAAGAUCUAUUUGAGAGAAUUGUCUUCAAUAAAAAUAAUUAUGUAAAUAAAAAUUUAUCUUACUCAUCAACUUCUUGAUACUUUGAAAAAAGACGAGAGACUAAUGCGCUAUUCAUAUUUUGUUCAAUAUUCAGAUCAUGACAUCCGAAGGGUGAUGAAGCUGCAACUCAGGAGGAUGAGAUGGUUAGGAAGGAGCCUGAGGUAGAGAAGAAAAGCGAAUCGGAACCGGAGUUUGAAAAACAUAAGGAGCAGAACUAAACAAUAGUUUGUUUAAAGUCUUAAUUAUUUUGGAUGAUAUGGUAAGUUAAAAGUUGAAUUAAAAAAUGAUAGUUAACGUUUAAUUUUGCAUAAUUAAAAACAACGGAUUUAAAAAAAAUGUGCAAAAUGUAUUCAAAAACAACUUAAUAUUGGAAAAAAACAAUUACGUAUUGAAUAUCAACUGUAAUUCCAAAUAAUUUUAUUUAUUUAUUAUUAUAAUAGA